rnacentral:rRNA from 1 species
AAGGGGGAGAAAGCACUAGGCUAACUCCGUGCCAGCAGCCGCGGUAAUACGGAGUGUGCAAGCGUUACUCGGAAUCACUGGGCAUAAAGCGCGCGUAGGCCGGACCUCAAGUCGGUUGUGAAAUCCCUCAGCUCAACUGAGGAGCUGCAGCCGAUACUGCGGUCCUUGAGGACAAAAGGGGAGAGCGGAACUUCUGGUGAAGCGGUGAAAUGCGUAGAUAUCAGAAGGAACGCCGGUGGCGAAAGCGGCUCUCUGGUUUGUUUCUGACGCUGAGGCGCGAAAGCUUGGGUAGCAAACGGGAUUAGAUACCCCGGUAGUCCAAGCCGUAAACGAUGAGUACUAGGUAGAGGAGGCCUCGUCGCCUUCUCUGCUGGAGCAAAUGUAUUAAGUACUCCGCCUGGGGGAGUACAGUCGCAAGGCCG